rnacentral:misc_RNA from 1 species
GAUGAAGAACGUAGCGAAAUGCGACAAGUAAUGUGAAUUGCAGAAUUCAGUGAAUCAUCGAAUCUUUGAACGCACAUUGCGCCCCCUGGUAUUCCGGGGGGCAUGCCUGUUCGAGCGUCAUUUCAACCCUCAAGCUCUGCUUGGUAUUGGGCGUCGCCGGGGAGUCUCCCCGGCGUGCCUCAAAGCCAUCGGCGGUGGUGCCUUUCUCUAAGCGUGGUAGAAUUUUUAUUCGCUUCUGAGUUGGGCUUCGCCUGCCGGACAAACCGGGCCCUCGCGGCCCACCUUCUCAGGUUGACCUCGGAUCAGGUAGGGAUACCCGCUGAACUUAAGCAUAUCAAUAAGCGGAGGA